rnacentral:rRNA from 1 species
GGUAUUUUGACCGUGCAAAGGUAGCAUAAUCAAUAGUUUUUUAAUUGAAAGCUGGAAUGAAAGGUUGGAUGAGAAAUAAGCUGUCUCUAUUUAAUUUUAUUAAAAUUUUAUUUUUAAGUUAAAAAGCUUAAAUUUUGAUAGAAGACGAGAAGACCCUAUAGAGUUUUAUUUAUUUAUUAAAUAAGAUUAUUAGUAUUGAUUAUUUUUAUUUAAAAAAUGAAUUUAGUUGGGGUGAUUGAAAAAUUUAAUAAACUUUUUAUUAAUAUAAACAUUAAUGUAUGAGUAAUUGAUCCUUAGUUUAAGAUUAAAAGAUAAAAUUACCUUAGGGAUAACAGCGUAAUUUUUUUUGAGAGUUCUAAUCGAAAGAAAAGAUUGCGACCUCGAUGUUGGAUUAAAAUAAAAUUUUGGUGUAGAAGCUAAAA